rnacentral:lncRNA from 1 species
GGAUAAUAUUUCAAAUCCAACUAUGAGGACUGGACUAGAUUUCAAGUCCACACAAUUUGAUCACGUCCAAGGUGAAUCAGAGGACUGGAUCAAAAUGUGAGGACUUGAAAUCUAGUCCAGUCCGAAUUGGAGGAUUUGAAAUGAUAUCUCAUACGAAUAAAUCACUACUUAAUUAAUUUUGAUCCAGUCCAAGGACUGAAUUAAUUUUAUCCAGUCCUAGGACACUACAGGAUCAAUAUACUUCAUAAGGUAUCCAGUAUUAUCAUGUGAGCAAAAUAAAGCAAUAUGGUUGGCUAAUUUGCUCACAAAUUAUUAAUGAUUUGAGGUGAACAAUG